CAGUAGCCGCGGGAAUACGAAGGGGGCUAGCGUUGUUCGGAUUUACUGGGCGUAAAGGGCGCGUAGGCGGGUUUUUAAGUCAGGGGUGAAAUCCCACGGCUCAACCUUGGAACUGCCUUUGAUACUGGAAAUCUUGAGUCCGGGAGAGGUGGGUGGAACUGCGAGUGUAGAGGUGAAAUUCGUAGAUAUUCGCAAGAACACCAGUGGCGAAGGCGGCUCACUGGCCCGGAACUGACGCUGAGGCGCGAAAGCGUGGGGAGCAAACAGGAUUAGAUACCCCUGUAGUCCCUGUCUCUUAUAC
rnacentral:rRNA from 1 species